rnacentral:lncRNA from 1 species
GAGUUUAUCUGGCGGCUUUGGUGUCAUCAAAUGUGAGAAGCCCUGGACUUUACACAUCCCGAGCCAGUGUGAUCCAGUAUGAUUGGGAGUCCGAGUGCCAGAUGCCGGUCAGGACCUGUUAUGCUGGGUCUCAGAAUGCGGAAACUCUCCCUGUCCGAGGUGGAACAGUUUGUCCUUGAGUGAGGACUGGAGUCCUGAGUGACUCUUUUGAUUUGAUCCUGUUUCCCUCAAACCUGAGAUGGGAGCCUCACUGUAUUGCCCAGGCUGGUCUUGAACUCCGGAGCUCAAGUGAUCGUCUUGCUUCAGCCUUGCAAAAUGAUGGUGAAGCUGCAUCAUUGUCUGGGGUAAAUACCUGAGGUUCGUUGUCUCACGCCAAGGGAAUCAAGGACGUGGACACACAAGAAGUGAGUUUAAGAGCGGAGGUUUAAUAGGCGAAAGAGAAAAGAGAAUAGCUCUAGCUCCUGCAGAGAGAAAAGGGCUCCCAAGUAGGACUUCCAGUCCGUGGCGAAGGGCACGGGGUUUAUAGACUGGCUUCAGGAGGUGGUGUCUGAUUUACGUAGGCCCCAAAGAUUGGUUGGACCAGGUGUGCCAAUCAGAAGCUGGCUGCCCCACCCUAAUCUUUUAUUAUGCAGAUGGAGUCCCUGUCUGACCGGGCCAUGUUGUAUGUUCCUUGCUGUACACGUGGUUGACAAAGAAAAGGGAAGAUGGAGCUGCGAUGUUGGACAUGCCUGGCCCCCAGGACAUACAGCCCUGCCGAGCAAAUAAUGAACGUAACUCACAAACUUCCUGCUUAUCAUCAAACGCACGCAUCCACUUAUCAUCAAACACCUCGGGUGACAGAAGAAUGCAGGUCAGCUCCCUGCUGCCUUGGCAUUAUCAAUCAGCCCAGGAACCAUCCUAUAAAAUCUCCAGCAAGCCUUUGUUUCCUUGCAGUCAGCUCCUCUUCCACUGAUUCUGCCUGUUGCUCCCUGAUAACAUACUUUGAUACUGUCUUUAAUAAAUCUGCCUUUCUUCACCCACAGCUGUCUUGGUAAGUUCUUUUACCUCUGUGCCACCAGCCCAAACAGUUGCUGCUCACCUGAAACAAAGAAUAAAUGUGGUUUUUAAGCAAAUCAAAGUUUACUUAGUGACUCUUACCAAGCUUUGUAGAAGGUUGUGCCAAAAGGAGAAGCUUAAGAGAUAACGG